rnacentral:lncRNA from 1 species
AUGAUCUCUUUUGUGUUUCAGAAGGAGUUUGCUGAUUUCAUGGAGUUGUUGAGUAAAGCCACAGUAGAGACGAUGGUGAAACUGAUUCAUGAUCACAUCUCAGCUCAAGUACCAGAAGCUACAGCAAAGUCUCAGCUCUCAAAACAAGACAAACUAAAUGAGGGUCAAGCAGCCACAUCGGAGUCUGAAAAUAAUGUGCUUCUUGAGUCUGAACAGAACAAGGAUUAUGAAAUGGAAUCAGAACAUCAUGAAAACUCUGGACAAGCAGCAAAUCAGUACCAACAGCUGUCAUCUGCACCCACAGAUAUUCUGGCAGGCAGUUUAAGUUUGAGUGAAAGCCAGCCAUCCACAAGCAUGAACAUAGCUGCUGAGGAGAGACAGGAGCCUUUAAUUUGUGAGUCCUGUGGAGUAUCGUUCAGUGACAUGGCCCUGUUAAACAUUCACAAUGCUUUACACAAAGAAAGACCUUUCAAUUGUUUGACAUGUGGGAAUACUUUCAAAAUGAUGAAAUGCUUGAUGAAACACCAGAGAUUUCACAUGACUCCGGAUUUGAGUAUUGAGUUCGAAGCCACUCUGAAUGAAGAAGAAUUCAUUGUGCAGCUUGAAACCUGUGACACUGUCAAUACAUCACUGGAAACACUAGAGGUCACCACUCAAGGUAAGACAUGAAUUCAAAUGCAGCUUAAAGGGAUAGUUCACCCAAAAAUGAAAAUUACCCCAUGAUUUACUCACCCUCAAGGCAUCCUAGGUGUAUAUGACUUUUUUCUUUCAGACAAAUCCAAUCGGAGUUAUAUUAGAGGUGCUGUGUGUAGGAUUGACACCGAGUGGUUAAACUAGGUAUUGCAGUCCAAAUUCAAAAUAUUGGAGAGGGUUUUUUUCACCCGGCUCCUCCUCCUCAGACUACACCCACACACAGGUUGCCAGAUUGAUGAAACAAACAGAAACGAGCGCACUUAAUGAUGAAUGAAAUGAAAUAUGCUGUGUUUUCACCAACUGACAACCCGGGGUGCCGAAAUAUAAUUGGGUAAACUGGCAGUGGGCGGGUUUCACAAACCAAAACAGAGACCGACAUUCUGGCCCGGAACGCACAUUUUCAAAUGAGAAUAACUGACUGUAGCAUUGUUUUUCAGAUAAACAAGUAUGUUAACUUAGCAGGUUUCUUAAAUAUCUGGAAACAUAUUAUGACAUUUUUAUGUUUUAAUAGAGUCAAAAUCUUACAUACAGCACCUUUAAGGCGAAGUCGUGGCCUAAUGGUUAGAGAGUUUGACUCCCACUUCACUUUAAAAAAAUGUGCUGGCUCUUCCAAGCACUUCCAGAACAUCAUCUGCCAGAACAGCAUUCUAUUGUGAACAUGUUUUUUGUUUUACAAGAUUAUGGUUUCUAAAGUUUAAAAUAUGCAUAUUUUCUUAUAAAAAUGUAUCGAUUCGCUUCAGGAGGCCUUAAUUGGCCCCCAGAGUGUGGGACACUUUUUAUGAUGGAUUGACGCACUUUAUUGGACUUCUAUUGGACUAUUGAAUAAUACCACCCAUUCACUGCCAUUAUAAAGCUUGGAAGAGCCGAGACAUUUAUAACUACAAGUCCAAUUGUACUCGUCUGAAAGAAGAUAGUCAUAUACACUUUGGAUGGUCUGAGGGUGAGUAAAUCAGGGGUAAUUUUAGUUUUUGGGUAAACUAUCCCUUUAAAGUUCUGUUUAGAAAUAUGUUUCCCUGCACAGUAUGGGAGUCAUCUUGGACUGUGUACUGUAAAUGCAGCAUAUGGUUUAAUUUUUUGUCAUGAUUUGGUGUUUAAGAAUGUUUUUGUUUCUAUUAUUUUUUUUAAAAAAUGGGUUGUGCUGCUUAAUACUUUUGUGGAAAUCAUGAUCAGUUUUUUCAGGAUUUUUUUGGUGUUCAAAAGAACAGUGUUUAUUUGAAAUAGAAUUUCUUGUAACAAUAUCAAUGUAUUCAUUGCCACUUUAUCCAGUCAAUUAAUUGUCUGCUUGUUGAAUAAAAGUAUAAAUAAAAAACGUAUUGACUCCAAACUUGUAAACAGUAGUGAAUGUAAAACUCUCAUAUAUCCAUGUCAGGUGAGUGUUAUUUCUUUAAAGACGUUAAUUCAUAUUUUUUAUUUAUGUAAAACACAGUGAGUGAAAAAUUA